CAUAUAAUUUAAGGUCCAAAUCCCUUACUGGGCCCAUAUUUUCUCGUCGUGGAAGUGCCUCUCUCCAAGUUGCUCUGUCUCUGUUAAACCCUAAAGUCUAAACCCUCCUGAACCACUCUCUCUUGUCAAUAACCCCACCAAGCUUUACAUUCUCAGCGAGAGAGGAUUCAAUAAAAAAAUGGCAGAUGAGAAGCUAGUAAAUGAAGUGAAAAAUAAGUUUUCAUCUUUGGAUUUACCCGAUUUGCCCAAACAGCUUCCUCCACAGCUUGAGUUUCAGAGAACUCGUGUCCUCUGCAACCUUGAUGCUCCAAUUCAUACAGAUAAUGUAAUAUAUGGUGGUGCUUAUGCAUCUGUGGGAGUCGACAACAGUGUCCAAUUGGAUUAUUUUCGUCGCAAAUUUCAAGUUGAAGUGGUUCGACUCACAAAGGAUGACAUGGAGUUUGAUUUGAUUGGUAUUGAUCCAUCAAUUGCAAAUGCAUUCCGGAGGAUUCUCAUAGCUGAGCUUCCUACAAUGGCUAUUGAAAAAGUUCUUAUUGCAAACAAUACAUCAAUUAUUCAAGAUGAAGUUCUUGCCCACAGGCUGGGUCUCAUUCCAAUCAUGGUUGAUCCAAGGCUUUUUGAAUAUAUAUCAGAAAAUGAUACAAAUAAUGAAAAAAAUACCAUUGUUUUUAAACUUCAUGUUCGUUGUGAAAGAGGGGCACCCCGUCUUACUGUAAAAACUAAUGAAUUGAAGUGGUUACCGAAUGGGAGUGAGCUUCUUCUGGAUUCAAAAAAUUCAGAUUCAAAUCCAUCCUCAAAACCACGAACCUACACUUCAUUUAGUUGCAGCCAAACAUCCUUGCCGCAAUUUGCUAACAAUCCAAUUAGCCCUAUGCCAGAAAUUACUAUCGCAAGACUUGGUCCUGGUCAGGAAAUUGAGUUAGAAGCACAUGCUGUUAAAGGCAUGGGUAAAACUCAUGCAAAGUGGUCACCAGUGGGUACUGCCUCGUACCGAAUGCUUCCUGAGGUUGUUUUAUUGGAAGAUGUUGAAGAUGAGGAUGCUGAAAAACUUGUAAACACUUGCCCUGUUAAAGUAUUUGAUAUUGAAGAUAUUGGAAAAGGUAAGAAAAAGGCAACUGUAGCACGACCCCGAGCUUGCACACUUUGUAGGGAAUGCCUAAGAAUUGGAGAAGAAUGGGAGAAGCGUGUAUCACUGCAUCGUAUUAAAGACCAUUUUAUAUUUACUAUUGAAUCAACCGGAGCGUUACCUCCUGAAGUUUUAUUUACUGAAGCUGUGAAGAUUUUGGAAGACAAAUGCGAACGUGUGAUUACUGAGCUAUCUUGAUGCUUUGUGGAGUCGAUAUUAAGACAAAAUAUAGUUCACAGUAAACCAAGCAGUUUGUUGAACUUGAGUUUGGCGCUCCUCAAACUGCAUUGAGGGAGACUUGAAUAUUUCAGGCGAGUGGAACUUAAGUUGACCAACCCCUCCACGCUCUCAAAUCCAUCGCGCACAAGAAUUGUUUCAUUUGUCCACUUGUGAUGCACAGGUGUCCUUCGUCUUGCCGUACCUACAUAUUUGUAGUGUUGUUGUACAGGUGGAAUGGUUUUCAUUUUCCUUUUUUCUGUUCAUUUUUUCCUAUUAUUCUCUAGAUAUGAAAAAGGUAUGAGGCUUCCAGGUCUAUAUGAGAACUUUGAGAACCUUUCAUUCUCCCAUAUGAAGCAUGUGGCACACCUGUCCUUGAGGACAAAAGAAUCGCGGUCUUUUCUGCCAGCUCACAAGCUUUCUUAGGAGAAAAAAUUAUUCAAAUAUGUUCUAAGCUUACAAUUAAAUGGGCCAUUUCUUAAUUGGCUAAAUUCCAUUGGCCCCCUUGUUUAUGGGAUAAGAACACUUCACCUCUUGAUUUUAAUAAACUCAUGCCGUCAUUCUCGU